CUAUGCCGAGGUAAAUUCAAUUUUCAAUUCUAGGGCACCUUUAAGCAUAUUUAUUUAGCUGUCCUCUAUGCACAAAAUUAUUUUGUUAGUUGCAUAUCAUUAUUUGCAUUUUCAAUUUAAUUUUUAGAACAGACCCCAUUUUGAAGUGACCUACCAGCAAAGAAUCACUGCAUUGUAAAAUAAGUCCAUUUAAAGGGGCUGUCAGAAUUUUUAAGUAUUAUUUGCUUUUUUCCCAGUGUGUGAACAGCUUGUAACAAACUUUAAAAAACGAGCCCUUCCCAGACUUCCUAGGUUGUCUAUGAAAGUCUGUAGACUGAUUUUUAUGAGAAGGACUCGGGACGUUUUUGCCGGGAAAAUCAAAAGAAUGUGACGUUUAUGCGCGCUCCCGAUAAUGUCGUAAAAGCUAUUAGGUUACUGUAAUAUCAGUGAUUAAUUCAAACUAUAGUUUCACAUAGUCAAAUAGGGCCUAGUCUACACUCAAAUAUACUUUAUAAUCAAUCAUAACUGUGUAAUUUUAAUUACCUCAUCUGUCGAUGAUGCCGGUGUUGUGUUUAGUUUAAGUGGAAGUAUUUAUAUUCAUCUAAAGGUCGCUUUCUCGGCAGCAAGGACGGCAGAUGUUCGUUAACAGUAUAUCGCUGUAAAGGUAUCUCCAACUUAUUUUUACUCCUAAAGAACGAAAAAGAACUUAUAACAGCACGAUAAACAGCAUAUAUCGGGGCCUUCAAUCACGUCGUUUAGUCUCUAGUCUAGUAAGUUACGUGUCACGGGUGCAAGCACGAGCAAUAAGUUGCUGGCUGCAGUUGACUUAACGUCCACGUGACCGGAGUCACUAAUAACAAGAGUUUCUGGAUUCUACAUAACAAUAGUAAUUAAAAUCAGUUGCAUAAAACAUAAAAAAUGUAAUAUAGAUUGGAAGUAUAAAACAAUAUGCAAAGCCUGCUUGCAUAAAUAUUGGUGGAAGAUAAUGAGCAAAUAAGUGACUGUACUUGUGCUUUGGAUGAAAUGGAAGAAUAGCUCAAGUUAUUCACCAGAUAUUGUGCUGUUUUGCUUUAAUGAUGUAAAUGAUGCAAGCAUCUAAAACAACGCUGUAAUCUCCUGCGACUCAUUAUACCAAAAGACCCUUCAGGUUCAUGGAAAAAACACAAGCCUUUUCUGCCUACAGCCCACAGGAGGCGCCAGAGCACAGACUGGAGACGAGGGAAACGCAGUCUUCACACAGCUCUUCUGAACAACAACAGUUUUACUGUGAAUGAGAUCUCAGAGAAACCAGGGGAAAUAAAUGAACAACGACUUAAAUAUGGAAAAGUAACAACACACAAGUCUGGAACUGCAUGAGGAGUUCAAGACUCCAGAACUUUCUUGCUCAGCGGUAAAGCACCUUCAUCGAUCGGCACUGUGCUUCCAGUGGGGGCGUUUCACAGACAGUUACCCAGAGAUGAUGCCCUUUCUGCAGGUAUGUGGCAGCUCUCUGGUCCCUUGAGCUGUGGAGCUCGAGGAGGAUUAUUAGACUUUGUGGUUGGACCAUAAAUCAGCUGAUGUAUGAUCCAGCAGAAGUCUCCCCCGAGCAACGGGAUUCACCCACUAAAUCCAGGAUGGGUAAUAAUGUUCUUUUCUUCUUGCUGGCAGGGUUUUGGCAUGACUCCAGAUCCGUUUGGAUGAUUUAAGAGAAUGAAAUUAGUAAGAACUAAAAUGAUUGCUUCAUGGGCUCUUUGAACUGAAGGAAGUUUUGCUUGAGAGGCUUGGAUUAAGUUUAAAGACAUGCUGUGGGUUUUAUCAGCAGCAUUUAAGGCAUGUUGAAAAUUUUAACUCCUCCUUCAGUUUGAAAAACAAACAACAAUCACAUUUACAGUAAUGCAGUUUACAGUGGAAGUCUACAUUUGGCUGAUAUAAACAAUAGAAUUUCGUAUUAUGUUAUGUUAUUAGAAUGCAUUAGUUCAAGACUUUAUAAAAGCACAUUACUGGAAACAUGCAUGGUUUUACAGCUGAGGGACGCUGAUGCUGUCUAGAGAGCUCUACUUGUUUUGGAACAAUUCAUUUGAUUGUGGCUGGAAUUUUGCAAACCUCAAACCUGACAAACUGAACUGGAGUGAUUUGAUUUAUAUUCAUUUGGUAGUGAAUGGAAAAGCUCAUGCUGUUAUUUUCCUCACUUUCUACUGAGUUAUCUGUACAGGUCUUUAUUUGGCAUGUUCCGUUGAGACGUCAACCCAUACCGACAAUCUGCCUGCUGCUUCUUCUGGAAAUGUUGACUCUGUUCUGGACAUUUAGGCUAAAGUUUUUUCAGUCUGCCAUGCUGGAUGGGACAUUUCCAUUGGUAGCCAUAGAGGAAUGCAGAUGCUAAGUAUUUUUACAGUCAUGCAUUUAGUCCAUUUUGAUUUUGUGUUUAAACCACUUCAACUCUAGCACAACUAUUAUUUCUUUUCACAUAAAUUAUGAUUAUAGGAGCAGAUUAUCAAUUAAUAAACUUGUCGCUGUGUCCCUUGACCUCAGAACACUUUUACUGUAGUGCAUUUUUAGCAUAUACAUUUUAAUUUUUGCAUACAUAAUCAGCUCAUUUAUGGAUUUUCUGACGAGAUAAACUUGCUCAGUAGCUGGUUCUUGCAAUGCGGAGAACUCUGGUACGAGGAGUGUGAAACACGACACUUGACAAAUGAGCUCAACGCAUUGUAGAAACAAGCUAAAAUGGCGUGGUUACAUCAGCAACUUUUUUUUUUAUCUCACAUUUGCUUUUGCUCACACUAUCGGUUUAGCAUAGAGUUUUGUUAAACGUAAACUGGAAAUUCACAGUUUCUUGUUGUGGAAGAGCAAUAGGAACAUAUGUGUGUGGUGUUAUGGGAAGACUUAAUAGUGUGUGUUAAGAUGAUCACUCAACUGUAAAUGUUCAGUUUAAUUUCUGCACAAAUAAAUUUACUGUAUAAAUAAAAAUAUUC